UACGGAGGGUGCGAGCGUUGCUCGGAAUUAUUGGGCGUAAAGCGUACGCAGGCGGCUCGGCAAGUCGAGUGUGAAAUCCCGGGGCUCAACUCCGGAACUGCAUCCGAUACUGCCGGGCUUGAGUGCGGGAGAGGGAAGCGGAAUUCCUGGUGUAGAGGUGAAAUUCGUAGAUAUCAGGAGGAACACCGGUGGCGAAAGCGGCUUCCUGGCCCGACACUGACGCUCAUGUACGAAAGCGUGGGGGAGCAAACAGG
rnacentral:rRNA from 1 species